rnacentral:lncRNA from 1 species
UCCGCCGACAAAACGCCGUACAAGCUACACACCCCAAAAACCUGCACGCCUAUGGGCGCCAAACGUGUGUAUUAUCUCAACGUCACAACACGACACAAACAGCGUAACGUGGUUUCCCGAACACGUACGCGGCACAGACCCCCGACACGUACUCGAAGACCUUACAGUUUACGAGUCAAUAAAACAGGAAAAGAUCCGAACUUUAAAAUUGUGUAUUUUUAUUUUCCCAUCCCCCUCUUUUUACCAAAAAACACAUUUUUCGUCUUGUAAAAAGUAACUUUCGCCCAUUGCCAUGAAACACCGUGAUGGGGAACGGUGUUGUGUAUCGACUGACGUCACUACGGCGAUCAGUAUCGACGUCGUGUAUACAUAACGGUGCCCGGUGUUUUUAUUCGGGGCGUUGUCGCGUCUUGAUGUAAUGUAACCUGAAACCGACGUGCCUAAGAAUGCGGAAGCCAGCGUGUAAUCAUAACGGGGUUUUGGGUACAAUCUGACGACAUCUGGCGGCGAGCGUACACCAUCGAAUGUGGCGAUCGCCGGCUCUACGUCACAAUGACGCAAAAACACACUGUAAAACCCGCGUAGACAGAUUUCCUGGUCAACGAGCGCCAUCUGGUGUCGGCAUAAGAACAGGCAUCAACCCCGUGGCCGGCGAGGCGGUGAGCACUUUUGUUGGUCACGUGACCAUCAGCGCAGGAAGCGAGGCCCGUAGAACCGCCCAAGAGGCGGUGCCAGAUGCCAACGUCAUAAUCACAAGGUGAUUUGUUACGUAACGCGCACACGCACGCGCGUGCGUGCGCGCGCGGUAGAAUACAGCGAUCCCUAGUGAAGCCACACCCAUUACGUGUAGCCAUAUCCGCUUACGUAUACAGCCACACCCCUAGGUACGCCACCUUAUCUACCAGUCACAGAAACGGAUAUACAAUGACCCCUCCCUAGACUCCACCCCUUGUACGGAAAUUUCAGAUAGGUGGAACCCGUUAGGGUUCCACCGUCCUCGGUGUACGUACAGGCUUCUCCGUCUACCGGAAAUAUACACCUGCUGACGUAGACGCUACUCCCGGAUACGCGUCACAAGCUACUGGACCCUAGAGGGGAGUGUCUACAGGGCUACGUGCACGCCCCCUUACUUAGGGUAUCCGCCCCCUUCCUCUGUUUUGGCCUAGUAAACUUAACGCCGCCGCUUCUCACGUGACCCCUGGCAAGGCUACGUCACACUCGCGUGACCACACCCACUCCGGAUAUACGUCAUCCUGUGGAAUUCCGGACAUACGGUGACGUAGCGAGCGUAGCGAGCUACGUCACGUAUGCGUGCAUCACCUCCGACGGAAAUCAUCUCUGAUGACGUAGCGAGCGAAGCGAGCUACGUCAUCAGUCCGUUUUACGUAUACCGGAUGCUAGGCGACGCCCCGUAGGGGCGGAGCCUAGCUUCCACCCCUAGGAUGCAUACCCUAUAUAGCAUUAUUCUUCUAACGAAACGUUCUACGAAAACGGACUGGCGGAACGGGAACCACCGUAACCCCCCCCCCUCACCCCCCCCCUUCUCCUCCGGAACCGGGGGGGGCAAAUUUUUACCAAAUUUGGGCAACCAUGAUUUCCAAUGGGACGGCGUUUCCGUGCGCAUGCGCAGUCGGGGCGAAUUUUCGGUUGUCAGGGCGUUGCCACGCGGAUUAUGGGAUGGGGACUCGAGUGCGCAUGCGCCGGGGAUGCCGCAUGGAAAGCCUAUAUAUAAGGAGGGGUGAACCAGGGGUCCCGGUGCGCAUGCGCGGACCCUGGCCCGCGGGAGGGUCGCCCUGCGCAUGCGCCGGUAAAAUUCCACUGGGUGUGUGUCAUGCGCAUGCGCCAGUGUUUUUCCAUUGGAGGCGGUCAGUGCGCAUGCGUUGGUAAAAUUCCACUGGAUGUGCGCCGUGCGCAUGCGCCGGUGUUUUUCCACUGGGCGGUCGCACCUAGGGAGCGCGAGCCCCGUGCCGGGCAUGGGCCGCGGCGGUGGAAAAUUACCGCUCCGCCCAUAUAGGCGGGGCAUCUGAAAACCUAUAAAACCCGGCGUGCCCGCUGCCCCCCGGCGCAGUCCGCGGCAGGGUUCCGGCCGUGCUGCGGUCCGCACGCUGCGCCCGCUCCCGCCUGNNNNNNNNNNNNNNNNNNNNNNNNNNNNNNNNNNNNNNNNNNNNNNNNNNNNNNNNNNNNNNNNNNNNNNNNNNNNNNNNNNNNNNNNNNNNNNNNNNNNNNNNNNNNNNNNNNNNNNNNNNNNNNNNNNNNNNNNNNNNNNNNNNNNNNNNNNNNNNNNNNNNNNNNNCGACGGCCCGGCCGGGCUGGGACCCCCGCACCGGGGUCCCGGUUCCCGUCCGCGGCCCGGGGGGACCCGAGCGGGGGCUUCCCACCCCCACCCCGCUCCUCCCCGGGCUCCGGCCCGGGAUCCCUCGCUGCUCCCGGCGACCUCCGCCGGCUUCCCGGUCCACCCGCCGCGGAACGGACGGGACCCGGGGUCCGCGCCCUUCCCCUCCCCCCACGGGGGGCUGGGUCGCGGACCCCGGUUCCUAGGCUCGUUCCGCGGUGGGCGACCGGGGAUCCCCCACCCAGCUCCCCUUCCCGGCCCGCCCCGCUGGCUUUUGGGCCUCUCCGGGCUUUUUUUUUCCGGCUGGGGGUCGCGGCGGUCGGCCGACGACCACGGUAGGUGGGCCGGGUGGACGGUGGUGGGGACGGGCGACGCCCCGGCUCGACGGCAGUCGGUCCCGGAAGGUUGGGGGCUGGGGGCCCGGUCAGGAGCUCCGGGAGCGGGGUCGACCGCGACGGCUUCCGGGUCUCGCGGCGGCUCCCUCUCGGCGGCUCCGGUUGGGCUCCCCUCCCCCCUCUCGAGGGUCCGGCCGCCAGUCGUGACCGGGGGUCCCUCGGCCUAGCCGCCGGCUCUCGGUCCGCCUUAUCCUGGGCGUUGGCCGGUCCCGUGACGCUCCCCUCCCCCGCUGCUCCCCAAAAAACUCCGCCCGAACCGUCGCGGCUUGCUGGCCCUGGGCGUGGUCCCCCACUCCCCUCCCCCCAUCGGCCGCCCAGCCGGGGUCGGCGCCUCGGACCCCACCAGGCUGUGGCGUGUGUGCUGGCCGAUGCGGCGGCGAGGUUGGGUGUGGCCGGAAGCGCUCGGGGUCGACGGUGGGCCGCCAUGACACCUCAAUUGCCGUCAGUACGCCCCUCCACAAUCACCGUCCCCACACGAUGGGCCCGGCAGGUCACCCAACGUUGGUUCAGGCCCAGUCGGGGUUUUUCCCCGGCACGAACGCACGUCCCCGUGGGCUCCACGCGUUUUCCACCCUUUCCUGGAGGGGUCCGGAACACCGUGAAUCCACGGGGAGGGUCCCGGCACGGGCCGAGGAGACCACGACCGUCCCACCCGGCGUGUCGACUCGUCCGAGACCCGGGAAGGGAACAGGCCCCACCAUUUUUUUCCCUUCUCCGAUUUGCCGUGGAAAACCCGUGAACCGAUACGGGUGCAGACGGCCGAAAAAAUUCGAGACGACAAUACGACGGCAGGGCGUGAUUUUCUCCCCCAUCCGACAAAACCGUGUCCCUCAAAAUUCCCCACCUUUCUCUGUUCAAAUGGCCCCGAAACUGUAAAACACCGUUUGACCGCACCCCAACCGGCGCCAUCUUGGUGACCUUCUCGACGAUUCUCUCGCUCGUCAUGCCGUUCUGAGCUCCGACAUGGCGGACGAGAGAAAAUGGCGUCGAGAGCCUAGGAGCGUUUUCGCUCCAGGCGGGUAAAAAAAUAGCACGAUAACUUUUCUGUGCUUUUUUUGAGACGUUUUAGAAGAGCUUUUUUUCUGCUCAGAGCGAAAAAAUGAUAGCCCUGAAAAUCUCGACGAGUCUGGCCGAGCGGCGCCAUCUUGGAGGAGGGGCGAGUCGCGGGCACCGCCUCGGUACCCCCUGGCCGAGGCGAGUCCGCGGUCGCCGCCUGUUCCGUGAUGCUACCUAGAGGGCGCUGUCGAGGCGACUCUUCCUGUUUUCGCCCUGAGGGCUAACGGUCGCUGACGUCAAACCAUCUCGUGCUCGCUGAGUCACAUCCGGUUGUUGACAAGCGAUGGAGGACCGCACCCAAAGUGCGUCCUCUAGUCAUCGCGCCUGACCCCUUUUAUAAACUGCUCGAAGAAAAGAACACCUUAUGUGAAAAAAAUACAGAAUGAUGACAAGUUCAUCCAACACAACCGCUCAACAACGCCAUAUCUAUCAGUGUCCAAAAACUAUCUUCUAUCCUUUGAAACUAUAAAUGCUGCCUAUAUACAUAUUUAGUAUCCAAGACUCUUACCACGUAGACGAAAAGAAGUGAUACAAUGAUCUUGACGUGUAUCGUCUAUAUCGUGCUAGAUAUAUUCGGAUAAGACGCGCAAACCAUAGAUUUCUCAUCAGUAUCAUGAAAGACCUAUAGCUCUAUAUACGAACCUAGUCAUUUUAGGACAGCCGCCGGAGAAGCCGACGAGGGAUCGGGCGGGUGCAGCCAGAACCUCACGCCCGAUCCCGCCUCCGGUAGGCGAUUUGCAUCUGUUUGGUAAAAAGCUCAUAAGUCUGUAUGUGACCUAUAUAUAUAUUAUACGCUAUGUACACCGAACUGUCGCUGUUGUAUAAGAAGAAAAAACUCUCCAUAUUUAUAUCGUCUGAAUUUUUGCUUGAUAGACACGUGUUUGGAACUCUGUCCCCCCACGUUUUCACUGUGUAUAACAAAAAUAUGUGUUUCUCAAAAGAUCUUGAGGUGUUUGAAAACGGGGGAAACCUGCGUUUGGGUGCGCUAAGCCCCGGACUGGGACGUAGCCGGCGUCCGGCACCUAUAUUUUUCUAUUUUUUUUUUACAAAAUAUAUGAUGAACCAAGAAUAAAACUCUAGCUCUCGUCUAUUUUUAAUAUGCUCUACUUAGAACCUUUUUAAUGACAGAAUGAACUCCAUGUUAUACGCUCUUUAUAUAGUUUCUCUGCACUAACCUUUAAAACCGUAUCCUUCCCUGUUGUACAAAUCAUCUUUUGAUACACAAUGAUGACCUGAUAUCCCUCCAUAUAUAUGAUCGGAUAUUAUUCCGUUAGACUUGUCCUCCUUUUUUUUCCUCAUCUCCUGUAUCUGGAGAUAUAUGUUGACCACCACCGCCAUGACCACCAAAAAGCUAGCCGUCACGACUAGAAAUGUGUAGGAUUCGGACUUUCCGUUCGAGAAGAAAGAGACCGCGUCUCUGGACGCUCUUUUUGUCGGUCUGAAUCGACCCGGGAUACGUAAGAGAGCGGCCCUACAUCGGGGGGCGCUCGAGACCGACGACGUUCCAUCUGACCAGAAAAAAAAGGCACCCCUCGGUAGCGACCUCUCACCAUCGUUUGCCCGUCCGCCCGUCCUUCGUAGCCAUCAUCAUCAUCUCAGGCUCUAUCGGUACCAUCGUUGUCAUCUGAAAAAAAAAACUGCCUCACCCACCUGCGUAAAAACACCAUCUUUCCGGAGGUGCGGUAAGACGGGCAAAUACGGUCGUGCCGAGGCAAAAAAACGCACCAUCGACACCACACCCUCAUGAGCACCACCUGUCGGUGUUGGUCGUCCCCCAUCGUUCUCUACGAACAUCUCGACGCCCGGGUGACGGACGACGGCAAGACGUCCCGGAGAAGACGGUGUUCUCUCGGGCGGUACGCUCUCUGGAUCUAUAAUAUCUAUAGUAGCUAAACGAGACUGUGAGUACGACGAACCACAUCAUCUUUUUUUUUUAUGUUGCUUCUUUAGAAAAUGACUUAUGUCGACGACACUCGGCAUCAGCCAUCUCGUGAAACACGCUCGCUUUUCGUCUCUCCAAGGAACACUGGGUCCGCUGAAAGGGACCGUGUACCGACCAAAGCAAAAAACACACACGUAGUAACAUGAUCAACCACGUCUGAAUGACACGAAAACACAAUCGUAUAACGCUCUAUUCAUGGAACGAACUUGGAAUAAAAAAACCAUCGCAGGCCAGAGGCUAAGCCGAAACCGUCCGGGGAAGCGGGCGCGAGUUUUCCGACUUAGUCUCUGGUGCUCGUUGAGCCUCUUUUUUUUUUUCUGAUUCUCUGAAGAAUCACCGUCACAGCCCUAUGACGCGAAAUCAAUUGCUAGAACAUAAACGUUCUCAACAGGUAUGAAAUGAACAAACUAGAUGAUGCUAUAACCUUAUAUUGUGUGUAUAUAGAUAGGUGUGAAAUUUGUAGGAUAAAAAGUGUCGUUGUAUGAUGCACAACGAUCGUGAAACUGGAGACUGUAGCUCUCUACCGAAUGCAAAUACACAAAUGACAUCGAUUCCCGUCCCCACAUAAAGAAAUGUGCUUUACUGUGAAAGAAUGAAGAAGAUUCUUGUUCCUCGUACGACGGGGCCCUCGCUCGUCGUGCCUCUUCCCCCCUCCGGGAGAGGGGACGUCAGGGCCCUCCGUCGCACCGGGCCGAAGCCAGUGAAAUGUUUACUACACUGUCAUCAGAAUAUAUGAUGUAUAUUAUUUCCUCCAAACUCCUCACCAUAGCCACCAAUUCGCAUCACUUAAGAAAGUAGUAGCAACCGCGGCGGCGGCGACCGGCCGGUCGUCGUCUCCUCGUCCUCAAAUGUUGUACAUGUGCAGAAAAAUGUGUAAAUACGUGUUAUUUAUCCCAUGCGUCUUGUACAUAGAUAUAUGUUUUUAUAUACGCUAUUUAUACUUUAUAUAUCCUUUUGCAUAACCAUAGACAGUCAAGGAUUUUAAUGAUUUGCUCAUCCGCCUUUGAGCCAUCGCUUAGGAGUUAGUUCCUCUAUGUUCUCGGCCCACCUUUUCGACUACAGUAGCAAACCCUUGUACUACCACCCCGAUAAAAACCACAUCAUCAUCGUCACCACGACCUGGAAACGACACACGUUCCCCCCCAAUCUUGGGCAUGUAUAUAUAUAAAAAGAAUGGGAGGGAGAGGACGUGGGGCUCGAGAAGAAAUAAACGCCAAGCUCGAUUCGAACC